ACAGGCCGUUGUUGUGGAUCUGGGAGGAGAAGCGCAGCAGGCGGCGGUAGGAGGUGGGGUCGGCUUUGGAAGCAGCGCUGGACAGACAGUUUUCCUCCAUGGCGCACUGCAGGGCGUACAAAGGCCUGUCCUCCAGGAAACUCCAGCAGCAAAGCGUCCGCCUCCUUUGGGACAGUCGACGAAGACGCCAUGAUGCAGACACUGAUCCAGAGUCAGCUCCGUCCCCGAACACCUCACGCCGCUCAUCACCACGGCGUCGGUGGAGGCGUCUCCCUGCCAGUACCACGUCUCCUGCAGAGAAGACCAAAAAAUCCACAAGAGCUUCUUAUCCUCCUGACUCAGCAUCUUAAGAGGAUUUCUGCAACGCAAAGGGGAAAUCUUUCGAGGUGGAAACUCAAUCUUUCCAUCGUCUCCCAUGGACGUGCAGAAAAACGGUUAGACAGACAGUAGCUCCAACACAGAGUCAGAUUUUCCAGAAGGUGGUGGUGGCUGGAGAAGCAUUUACGAGUCAGACAGGACAGCGUUUUCUGCAGAGGAGGAGGAUGUCUCUGGAAAGAUCUGGAAUGAUCUUCAGAUUGAAAUGUUUGUGAUGGCAACGGGGCAUGCCAUCAGAACAGCAUCAUCUCUGUUUUGAAGCAGAGAGGAACAACUGACUCAGUCUUUACAAGCUCCACUAAUAAACACCCCCCGCAGUACUGACCCCCCCAUGAUUCACACACAUACUUUCCACAGAUUUACUGUCUGAAAGCAUGGUCGGAUGACAUAACACGAUGACAUGGCGGCUGCUCUCUUCAGUAGAAAGUGUGAGGCGGCCCUGCUUGUUCCUCGCCGUUUUCCAGUAAACUUCAAACACAACCCGGCUCAUUUGUGGGGCGGGUUUCCCGCCGUUUGCCCUCUGGGAAAAACGCACCUCCAGCUUGUUAGAAACUCGCCAUGCUCAUUAAGACAGCGAAAGCUCAACAUGUUCCAAUCCCUAAAUUCCACCCGUGUCCUCCCUUCUUGAGUCCUGGGAGGAGACCACAUCCAUGGAAGGAAGUGGCGCCCCAUGGUUCAGCUCCAACAACAUUUUAAUUUGUCAAAUAUACAGUCUAUAAAUUACAUUAGCAACAAUUAUUAUGAAUAAGUACAAAAAAAAUAGUUUCUGAAUUCCAAGAACUCUUACUAAUUCAGCCUGGAGGCUGCAGUAAAAUGACCAUAACUUUCUAAAAGUUUGCAGGAAUGCACAUUAACAGAUCAGACCAUAGGGGAUGACCGCGAGGAUUAGUUGACCUAAUCGAUUCAUAUUCCUAUGAUCCAACCAGGUAGAUCUGUCUGAGGGAAGUUGUUCAUCAAAAAUUGUUUCAAUUUCAUUAUUUUGAAGAAAUACGAGGAAUCUGGAGAACUUCACCUGCACUUUCAGUCCCAGCUGUUUAUCUCUGAGUCACACUGGUGGAAGUUUUACUAAAGAUGUUCUGGAUCCAUUUUAGGUCAGUGAGUUCAAUUGUUUAAAAUGAACCAAAUCAACUAUGAAUCGCAUCGUCAACCGUAAAUAUUGAAACGAGUCAAAUCGUAGUUAAAAUGAACCAUUAGACCUCUAUUAAACACAGCUUUACUUUUCUUUCUUCCAGUUCUGUUAAGUAUUUUCAAUAGGAGUGUGAAUUGGCAAUAGUCUGACAAUACAAUAGUUGUCACGAUACACGUGUCACAAUACAAUACGUAUCCUGAUAUAUUCAGUUCAGCACCAGACAAUAUUUCACCAUUUUUUAAGUUAUGACUAAAGAAUCAAUAUUAAUACAUUUUUCACAUAAGCAAUACCAAAUAUCUUUCAAUAGUAGCUCCAGUGAAUAUUCCAAACGUUUGGCAGCCAGCCGUGAUUUAUGUAUCUAUUGAAGAGCGGACUCUAUUGGAAGAUACACAACAUGAGUCAAAGUCAAGACCCAGGGGCCGCAUCCGGCCCUCCAGAUCAU